rnacentral:lncRNA from 1 species
ACACACUCACAAGGUCACUUUCAAUAAGAUUCUAAGAGUUUAUUUCUCUCAUUUUUAUUAAAAGUCCUUAAUUUAAAGUAAAAAAGAAGAAGAAAUGGAGGGUACCAAGAAAUUUUCUAUGGUUUUCAGUAUUUGCAUAAUGAUUAUUGUGGCUUUUGGGAAUGUUGGAGUGUUAGCUGCAGGAGCAGAAGCACCUGCACCUUCACCUGCAAUGGAGAAUGCUGGAGUUACUUUGUUUGUUCCUGUUCUAAUGGCUGCCAUUGCUUCAAUGGCUGCUAUCUUUUUCUAAACUUUUUUUUCCCUUUAAUUUUGUGUUUUUUCUUUUAUGUUUGUAACAUCGCGAUUUUUUGUUGAGAUUCUCGAUGUUUUUUUUUCCCUUCUUUAAUUUUGUGUUUUUUUCCAAUGUUUGUAAUAUUAAGAUUAUUUCUCGAUGUCUAAUAAGAAUUUAAUUUUAUUAUUCUGGAAAAAUAGUUUUACUAUAAUGUUAUCUCCUCUGCGAAAUAAUGGACACAUAAUCCAUACUUAUAUAUAAAGUUACAACUAAGUAAAAACGUCUCAGCCUGUUUAACGAA